CCCUAGGACAGUUCCAUCACUGCCAAUCCAAGGCUAUAGUGCUUAAGGUCAGGUCUUCUAGAUGAGAAUAAAACACAAUCCGUCAUCUUGGAGUGUUGUCUUAGCUGGAGUGAGUGUGGUACUUGUAACCUUGGCCUCUUGUCCUGUGUCUCAUCCUUAUACAGUGAAGGCUACUGUUGGAGCUGAUGACCUAUGAUUCCCAAACAUAACCUGUCUUCAGAGAAGUGGCUGAAGAUAAGCAUUGUGUGGUGAGCUCCUGAAACCCCCGAUGUGAAAACCCAGCCCAGAACAAUCGGAAUAACUGCAGGAAGUUCCUAUGCAUCAGUUUGACGCUACCCAGGCUGCUAGGGGACAUUUUGUCCCAACAAAUCUUCAUUACAGUCUGCCAUCAGGAUUGGCAGUGAAGACGCAUGUUAAAUACAACCUGGAAACCGGGUGCAUUUCUCAGAGAGGACGAUGAUCCUUUAAGACAGCAAGUGUUCUUUAUUCGACAUGCAAACGUGAAUAUCUGUGUCUCCUUCAGUUCUCAGAUGACCUGAUCACUCCAGGAAGCUGCCUGAGCACCCUCACAGUCUGACAUUCUCCAUACUAGAAAGGGAGCCACUGGUGGAACAUAGACCUAAGUCUACACCAUUCAGAGGCUACAAGUCAGAGUCUCGGGCUCAGCAGGAAAGCUGUGAAAAUUCACUGGGUUGCAUACCAUAGAGUUGAACAGAAUGUAGAAUUGCCAGAAAGUAGUAGAACGAAGGCAGUUCCUUGGGUUGGGUAGUGUAUCCUAUUUCCCAUCAUGCUCUCUGUUACAGGAUGUGUUUUGGUAGCUCUUCAAGCUCCAUAAAAGAGGAUGUGGGCUUAGAUGACUUUGUAAGGGAGGAAAAUUUUCUUCUUUCUCUAACCAUCUUAAGUUCAUUGGCUGGUAC